rnacentral:ncRNA from 1 species
GAGGCUCAGAUUAAAAGGGAAUACGGUUGGAAUCCGUAGCAGUACCCGCUACUGUGUUGUUAUUGUGAGACGAAGCUCACAUUGUGGAGAUUGUCACGGUCAAAGGUCAAAAGUCAAAGGUCAAAGGUCAAAAGUCGAAAGUCGAAAGUCAAAAGACUAAAGACGAAGAGAGGCCUUUAGGGCAUUAGCCUUUUGUCUUUAGUCUUUAGCCAUAUUUUGAAUUGACGGGAAGGCACCACGUAAAACUAAGUCAGGAGACCUGCCAGAACUUAAU